rnacentral:rRNA from 1 species
ACAGAGGGUGCGAGCGUUAAUCGGAAUUACUGGGCGUAAAGCGCACGUAGGUGGCGACGUAAGUCGGGUGUGAAAUCCCCGGGCUUAACCUGGGAAUGGCAUUUGGGACUGCAAGGCUGGAGUUUGGCAGAGGAGACUGGAAUUCCUGGUGUAGCAGUGAAAUGCGUAGAUAUCAGGAGGAAUACCGAUGGCGAAGGCAGGUCUCUGGGCUAUAACUGACGCUCAUGCACGAAAGCGUGGGGAGCAAACAGGA